UUGUUGCAUGUAGUAGAGAGUGGCUCCCUCUGCUGCACCAUCUGUGCACCAGGCUCUGCUCCAUCCACCGCCCGGGCUAAGAGUGCACGCAAGUUACUUCAUAACCGGACGACCACCGGAGAUAGUGCUGCAUGUUUAUCAGCAGCAACAGCAGCGCGAUGCCCCCGGGCAGCUCUGCGCGUCAACACGCCGAGUCGGACCGUGUCCUCACCGCAGACACAUGAUCUACAAAAGCGGCAGCUCGACCCAAUUAACGAGUCCCCAAACAAGAAGCUGACGCUUAAUCGUCACCAAACCGACAAUAUAAUAACACCCACAAACAGAGACAAUUAAAAUGAGUGGUUCCCUUCACGUGUGGUUCUUUUGUUUACAUCUGACAGUGACAAUAAACGCACCACAAAUGUCA